rnacentral:rRNA from 1 species
AACGAACGCUGGCGGCAGGCUUAACACAUGCAAGUCGAGCGCCCCGCAAGGGGAGCGGCAGACGGGUGAGUAACGCGUGGGAAUCUAUCCAUCUCUACGGAAUAACGCAUGGAAACGUGUGCUAAUACCGUAUACGUCCUUCGGGAGAAAGAUUUAUCGGAUAUGGAUGAGCCCGCGUUGGAUUAGCUAGUUGGUGGGGUAAAGGCCUACCAAGGCGACGAUCCAUAGCUGGUCUGAGAGGAUGAUCAGCCACACUGGGACUGAGACACGGCCCAGACUCCUACGGGAGGCAGCAGUGGGGAAUAUUGGACAAUGGGCGCAAGCCUGAUCCAGCCAUGCCGCGUGAGUGAUGAAAGCCCUAGGGUUGUAAAGCUCUUUCACCGGUGAAGAUAAUGACGGUAACCGGAGAAGAAGCCCCGGCUAACUUCGUGCCAGCAGCCGCGGUAAAAC